AUGAACUCGAGGGGGAAAGGAGCCCCUGCACUUCGGGCAUGUUCCUACAGCUCCCACUGCAGGUCCUGGACCUGGAGAGGUGAGCAGGAGCAGAGGAGCAGCAGGCCAGCUUCAGGGGCUGGCUUGACCAGCUCGGCUGCUCCUGCCAUUCCUAAGACAGGAGGCAGCUGGCUCUGACCUUCACCAACAGGUGAGCCCAUCUGACCCUAAAGGAUUUCCAGCACUUCUCAGGUUCCCCUACCACCUUCCUCUACUCAGUCUCCAGCAAACAGAAGUCCAAGAGACAUCUGCAAGUAAGAGAACUAGUCACAGUCCACAUCUAGGACAAGGUACAGAAACACGUCUGAGGCCCUUCCCCCUGCCCUGUAUGAUUCUAGGAAGAACUAGGUAUGGUGAGGAGUGACCUCUUCCUAGAGUAAAACAAUCUUGAUGUCUGGAUGACUCUAGCAGUGGCCUUGUCUUGCCUUCCACUCAGCCUGCCAACAUGCAGAGAGCCCUCCCAGGUGACCGCCACAGUCUAGAAGCUGGGAUGUGUGCAGGUGUGACUAGAACUACAAAGCCAUGGCCCCUGCUUUUACUAAUUUUAGGUCCCUGCAUUUACUCCUGGAAG
rnacentral:lncRNA from 1 species